UUCUCUACUAGCUAUGCUACAGUCCUUACGAACUAUGCUCUAAUUCAAAAAUUAUAGAAAGCUAUUGGCAUGCAGACAAUGAUAAGUUGGCAUUCGGUUAUAACAACAGCACCUGCCAUCCGAAUGUGGAUAGCAAGCCCCGUAAUCAAUUACUAACAAUCAUAACUGACAUGCUGAUACCUACCAAUAGCCUACUACUCCGAUCAGAAAGGCUGCUACCGCUUAAUAAAUUUUUCUAUAAAAAUAAAGGAAGGGGGAAG
rnacentral:lncRNA from 1 species